rnacentral:lncRNA from 1 species
UAAAGCCCAUUCAUUAUCCUCAUCUCAUAUCAAGAGUAUGGAUAUUCAUCUAUAAAAUCAAGUUAACGAUGAAUACAUCAAGUCAGACUUUAACUUUGAUCUCACAAAGAUGCUCAUUGCAUGUCGUAUAACCUUAUUCAUUGCUGAUCAUCCUACGUUCAAAAAAAUUAUGGAGAAAUACACGGGUAAAUGCUUCCCUUCCCGAGGAACCAUCAUUAAUUAAUGGAGGAUGCUGAUAAUUUUCAGCCUGUUUAGAGUAAUCUACGCCAAAUUACGAUAUGGAACUCUGAAUUUUGUACCAUCUAACAGGAAGUAUUCUUUUCUUUUUUUUAAAUCUUACCAUAAAAUAUGAUUCUAUUUUAGCUAAAAAUAUGAAGAAUUAUGAUGACACAACUCAUUAAAUGGCAAAAACAAGUGCUUAAAUGGUCACAACAACGGGACGAGUAGGUUGAGAUGUUUUGCAGCUAGUUUGUCUGACAUUCGUUUCUUCACUUAAAGACUUGGGAUUAGCUGUGGUUGAUAAGCCCAAGAAAUGGUGUUCAAAACUCAUAAAAGGCAA